GGCCGGGUAGCUCAGAUGUUUGGAGCAUUGGCCUGAUGAGCCAAGGUUGUGGAUUUGAUCCCUGGUCA
rnacentral:tRNA from 1 species